rnacentral:rRNA from 1 species
GAACGCUGGCGGCGUGCCUAAUACAUGCAAGUCGAGCGAGCUUGGCUAGAUGAUUUUAGUGCUUGCACUAAAUGAAACUAGAUACAAGCGAGCGGCGGACGGGUGAGUAACACGUGGGUAACCUGCCCAAGAGACUGGGAUAACACCUGGAAACAGAUGCUAAUACCGGAUAACAACACUAGAAGCAUGUCUAGAGUUUGAAAGAUGGUUCUGCUAUCACUCUUGGAUGGACCUGCGGUGCAUUAGCUAGUUGGUAAGGUAACGGCUUACCAAGGCAAUGAUGCAUAGCCGAGUUGAGAGACUGAUCGGCCACAUUGGGACUGAGACACGGCCCAAACUCCUACGGGAGGCAGCAGUAGGGAAUCUUCCACAAUGGACGAAAGUCUGAUGGAGCAACGCCGCGUGAGUGAAGAAGGGUUUCGGCUCGUAAAGCUCUGUUGGUAGUGAAGAAAGAUAGAGGUAGUAACUGGCCUUUAUUUGACGGUAAUUACUUAGAAAGUCACGGCUAACUACGUGCCAGCAGCCGCGGUAAUACGUAGGUGGCAAGCGUUGUCCGGAUUUAUUGGGCGUAAAGCGAGUGCAGGCGGUUCAAUAAGUCUGAUGUGAAAGCCUUCGGCUCAACCGGAGAAUUGCAUCAGAAACUGUUGAACUUGAGUGCAGAAGAGGAGAGUGGAACUCCAUGUGUAGCGGUGGAAUGCGUAGAUAUAUGGAAGAACACCAGUGGCGAAGGCGGCUCUCUGGUCUGCAACUGACGCUGAGGCUCGAAAGCAUGGGUAGCGAACAGGAUUAGAUACCCUGGUAGUCCAUGCCGUAAACGAUGA